rnacentral:rRNA from 1 species
CCUACGGGAGGCAGUAGUGAGGAAUAUUGGUCAAUGGGCGGGAGCCUGAACCAGCCAAGUCGCGUGAGGGAAGACGGUCCUAUGGAUUGUAAACCUCUUUAGGCGGGGAGCAAUGCCGGGCACGCGUGCCCGGAGGGAGAGUACCCGCAGAAUAAGCAUCGGCUAACUCCGUGCCAGCAGCCGCGGUAAUACGGAGGAUGCGAGCGUUAUCCGGAUUUAGUGGGUUUAAAGGGUGCGUAGGCGGAUUUUUAAGUCAGCGGUAAAAUGUCCGGGCUCAACCCGGGCCGGCCGUUGAAACUGGGGAUCUUGAGUGGGCGAGAAGUAUGCGGAAUGCGUGGUGUAGCGGUGAAAUGCAUAGAUAUCACGCAGAACUCCGAUUGCGAAGGCAGCAUACCGGCGCCCGACUGACGCUGAGGCACGAAAGCGUGGGGAUCGAACAGGAUUAGAUACCCCAGUAGUC